rnacentral:rRNA from 1 species
UACGGAGGGUGCAAGCGUUGUCCGGAUUUAUUGGGUUUAAAGGGUGCGUAGGCGGCCCGUUAAGUCAGCGGUGAAAGCCCACUGCUCAACAGUGGAACUGCCCUGGAAACUGGACGGCUUGAGUACAGACGAGGGCGGCGGAAUGGAUGGUGUAGCGGUGAAAUGCAUAGAUACCAUCCAGAACCCCGAUUGCGAAGGCAGCUGCCUAGACUGUAACUGACGCUGAGGCACGAAAGCGUGGGGAGCAAACAGG